rnacentral:rRNA from 1 species
CUCAUUAAAUCAGUUAUAGUUUAUUUGAUGGUCUCUUUGUUCUUCUUUUUACCUACUUGGAUAACCGUGGUAAUUCUAGAGCUAAUACAUGCGCAAGGUCCCGAGCGCGGAGGUAGGGCUUCACGGUUCUAUUCUUGCAUGCGUAGAGGGAUGUAUUUAUUAGGUUAAACAACCAGCAUCUUUUCAUUUCUGGUGAUUCAUAGUAACUCUUUCGGAUCGCAUUCAUG